GUGCCAGCAGCCGCGGUAAUACGUAGGUGGCAAGCGUUGUCCGGAAUUAUUGGGGCGUAAAUGGCUCGCAGGCGGUUUCUUAAGUCUGAUGUGAAAGCCCCCGGCUCAACCGGGGGAGGGUCAUUGGAUACUGGGGAACUUGAGUGCAGAAGAGGAGAGUGGAAUUCCACGUGUAGCGGUGAAGUGCGUAGAGAUGUGGAGGAACACCAGUGGCGAAGGGCGACUCUCUGGUCUGUAACUGACGCUGAGGAGCGAAAGCGUGGGGAGCGAACAGGAUGAGAUACCCCUGGUAGUCC
rnacentral:rRNA from 1 species